GAGUUUGAUCAUGGCUCAGAUUGAACGCUGGCGGCAUGCCUUACACAUGCAAGUCGAGCGGCAGCGCGGGGGCAACCCUGGCGGCGAGCGGCGAACGGGUGAGUAAUGCAUCGGAACGUGUCCUCUUGUGGGGGAUAACCAGUCGAAAGACUGGCUAAUACCGCAUGAGAUCGAGAGAUGAAAGCAGGGGACCGCAAGGCCUUGCGCGAGAGGAGCGGCCGAUGCCGGAUUAGCUAGUUGGUGGGGUAAAGGCCUACCAAGGCGACGAUCCGUAGCUGGUCUGAGAGGACGACCAGCCACACUGGGACUGAGACACGGCCCAGACUCCUACGGGAGGCAGCAGUGGGGAAUUUUGGACAAUGGGGGAAACCCUGAUCCAGCCAUGCCGCGUGUGUGAAGAAGGCCUUCGGUUGUAAG
rnacentral:rRNA from 1 species